GGAGACUGACAGUGGAAGAGACAGACUGGGACAGAGACAUUAUGGAGACUGACUGAUCUUUCUACAGAAAUACAUAGACUGGUAUUGUCUAUUCUAACACUGUAGAAGAGACAAUGUGGGACAGACAGACACAGACAGACUUACCUGUCCACCUAUCCACUGUGAGGACAGACAGAGUGACCUGUCCAUUAUGGAAGAUAGCGACUGAGACAGAGGAAGACUCUCCUGUCCUCGGGGAGAAAGACAUAAAAUCCCCCCCUGUGGGAAGACACGGUGACACGGUGCAUCACUACCAGGGGAGUAAUGGAUUACAUUCUCUAUAUAGUGCAUUACUACCAGGGGAGUAAUGGAUUACAUUCUCUAUAUAGUGCAUCACUACCAGGGGAGUAAUGGAUUACAUUCUCUAUAUAGUGCAUUACUACCAGGGGAGUAAUGGAUUACAUUCUCUAUAUNUCUCUAUAUAGUGCAUCACUACCAGGGGAGUAAUGGAUUACAUUCUCUAUAUAGUGCAUUACUACCAGGGGAGUAAUGGAUUACAUUCUCUAUAUUGUCACUAUAGUACCUGGUUCGAAUCCCGGUAGUAUCACGUCCGGCCGUGAUUGGGAGUCCCAUAGGGCGGCUCACAAUUGGCCCAAUGUCCGUGUUUGGCCAUCAUAGUAAAUAAGAAUUUGUUCAGAACUGACUUGCCUAGAAACAAAAAUAUUUAAAUUAUAUGUAGUCCGCCUGAACACCAGUCCUGGUAUUGAGAUCAAAACAUAGAAGCCAGAGUCCUCCCCCCCUUCUGUCUCUGUCUCUCUUGUCUCUCAGAACAUGACGUCGCGGAGCAGCAGUAUUGGAACUUUCCCCCUUCAGUCUCGUCUCUCUUGUCGGGGCAGCAGUAUGGAACUUCCCCUUCAGUCUCUGUCUCUCUCGUCGGGGCAGCAGUAUGGAACUUCCCCUUCAGUCUCUGUCUCUCUCGUCGGGGCAGCAGUAUGGAACUUUCCCCUUCUGUCCUCUGUCUCUCUCUCAUCGGGGCAGCAGUAUGGAACUUUCCCCCUUCAGUCUCUGUCUCUCUCGUCGGGGCAAGCAGUAUGGAACUUUCCCCUUCAGUCUCUGUCUCUCUCGUCGGGGCAGCAGUAUGGAACUUUCCCCUUCAGUCUCUGUCUCUCUCUCUCUUGGGGCAGCGUAUGGAACUUUCCCCCUUCUGUCUCUGUCUCUCUCUCAUCGGGGGCAGCAGUAUGGAACUUCCCCUCAGUCUCUGUCUCCUCUCAUCGGGGCGGCAGUAUGGAACUUUCCCCUUCUGUCUCUGUCUCCUCUCACGGGGCAGCAGUAUGGAACUUCCCCUUCAGUCUCUGUCUCUCUCUCAUCGGGGCAGCAGUAUGGAACUUUCCCCUCUGUCUCGUCUCUCUCGUCGGGGCACAGUAUGGAACUUUCCCCCUUCUGUCUCUGUCUCUCUCGCUCGGGCAGCAGUAUGGAACUUUCCCCCUUCAGUCUCUGUCUCUCUCUCAUCGGGGCAGCAGUAUGGAACUUUCCCCCUUCAGUCUCUGUCCUCUUGUCGGGCACAGUAUGGAACUUUCCCCCUUCAGUCCUGCUCUCUCCUCAUCGGGGCAGCAGUAUGGAAUCCCCCUCACUCUGUCCUCCUUGUCGGGGCAGCAGUAGGAACUUUCUCCCCUUCUGUCUCGUCCUCUCUCGUCGGGGCAGCAGUAUGGAACUUUCCGUCAGGGUGUCUCGUUAACGGUCCCAUGCAUCUUUAACAGUUUGACAGAAUCCCCAAGCCCAUGACUGUAGUGACACACAUACCACUCACUAACACACACACACACACACACACACAACACACACAAACACACACACACACACACACACCACACACAACACACAACAACACAACACAGACUCACUCACUACACCACACACAGACUCACAGACUCACUCACUAACACACACCCACUCACUCAGUACACACACAUACACAGACACACACACACACACACCUCACAGACUCACACAAACCACAUACACACUCACUCACUAACACACAUACACAGACCACCACUAACACAACCACACACCACACACACACAACACACACACUCACAGACUCACUCACUAACACACACUCACGACCACUCACUAACACACACACACACAUACACACAACAAGACUUCCUCACAACACACACACACACAACCACACACACAACACACACACACCACACACACACACACACACACACACACACACACACACACCACACACACACACACACACACACACCACAACACACACACACCAACACACACACACACACACACACACAACACACACAGCUUGUCUGUAAUACACAUGCUCAAAAAAUAAAGGGACACAAAACACAUCCUAGAUCUGAAUG
rnacentral:lncRNA from 1 species